rnacentral:lncRNA from 10 species
UUUUUUUUGACGGAGUCUCGCUCUGUCGCCCAGGCUGGAGUGCAGUGGCGCUGGAUCUUGCCUCACUGCAACCUCUGCCUCCCGGGUUCAAGCAAUUCUCCUGCCUCAGCCUCCCGAGUAGCUGAGACUACAGGCAUGCACCACCAUGCCCAGCUAAUUUUUGUAUUUACUUUAGUAGAGACGGGGUUUCACCAUGUUGACCAGGCUGGUCUCGAACUCCUGGCCUCAGGUGAUCUGCCCGCCUCGUCCUCCCAAAGUGCUGGGAUUACAGGCGUGAGCCACCGUGCCUGGCCCUUGUAGGUGCUCUAAGAUGAAGAAUUCCAAACUGCUAACCGUCAGCACACGUCGUUCAUAAGAAAGCACAGCAGAGGAUGCCAUCCAGAGUCCAGGAUGAAGCCAAGAGGGAGCCUCUGGAGCCGGGACAACAGAAAAUUUAUAUAAACUGCAACCUCAAUACUUUGAAGACAGUAGCACGAGGAAUGAAUUAGUGCUGAAGACAGCAUCG